rnacentral:lncRNA from 1 species
GGGCCUUAGUAAAAACAUUUGGAUUAGUGAUUAUUAGUGUAGCUUUGUGCAGAGUUGAAUUAUAUUUCCGUACCUCUUGGCUAUUUGUGCUUGCGCGCUAUAAUUGUAUAUUCUGAGGCUUGUAAGCCUUGCGAGAUCACUCUUGCUAACUGCGGCCUUGUUCAGUUCAUAAUUUUUUUUUUUUGCAUUUGGACACUAUAGUACUUUCGUUUUUAUUUGACAAAUAUUGUCUAAUUAUAGAGUAACUAUGCUUAAA